CAAGGCCAACGAACUGCGCCACCCAAAGGACAUCUAGGAGAGAAACUGGCAGUUCCAUAUAAUAGGAGGGAGUACCAGAUGUGGCUGAGCAUGGCAUCUGACAGACUAAACUCUGCAUGAAUGUUGAGUCGUGAAUAGACAGGGGCUGGAUGCAGGAAGGAACAAAUGAAAGAACGAAGGAAUGAAUGAAAGAAUUUCAUGGUGACAACUCCGAGGAGAGUGAUAUGAGGAUGUUAGGGAAAAGGAGUGGAGAGCAUAAGGGAUACUCCUUUUCCCUAUCUGCCCAUCCUCAAAAAGCUGGAAACUUCUUUGUGCUGGUUCUUUCUGGUGCCGGGGAGACGGCAGCGGUGAGUGGGCAGAAUUCUUGCCUGGCUGUGGGGCACAGCAGCCUGGAGGGCUGCUCUGAGCAGGACCAAGAGCUGCCCAUGCGCCUUGAUUCAACCGGCUGUUUUUAUC